rnacentral:rRNA from 1 species
GACGAACGCUGGCGGCGUGCUUAACACAUGCAAGUCGAACGGUGAAGCGCCUUCCUUUUUGGUGGGUGUGGAUGAGUGGCGAACGGGUGAGUAACACGUGAGUAACCUGCCCCCUUCUUCUGGAUAACCGCAUGAAAGUGUGGCUAAUACGGGAUAUUCUGGGUCUGUCGCAUGAUGGGUCUGGGAAAGAUAUUGUUUCGGUGGGGGAUGUGCUCGCGGCCUAUCAGGUUGUUGGUGGGGUGAUGGCCUACCAAGGCGGUGACGGGUAGCCGGCCUGAGAGGGUGGACGGCCACACUGGGACUGAGACACGGCGCAGACUCCGACGGGAGGCAGCAGUGGGGAAUAUUGCACAAUGGGCGCAAGCCUGAUGCAGCGACGCCGCGUGAGGGAUGGAGGCCUUCGGGUUGUGAACCUCUUUCGCCAGUGAAGCAGGCCUGCCUCGUUUGUGGGUGGGUUGACGGUAGCUGGAUAAGAAGCGCCGGCUAACUACGUG